rnacentral:rRNA from 1 species
UACGUAGGGUGCGAGCGUUUGUCCGGAAUUAUUGGGCGUAAAGAGCUCGUAGGCGGUGUGUCACGUCGGCCGUGAAAAACCUGCAGCUUAACUGUGGGCGUGCGGUCGAUACGGGCAUCACUGGAGUUCGGCAGGGGAGACUGGAAUUCCUGGUGUAGCGGUGAAAUGCGCAGAUAUCGUAAGGAAGACCAGUGGCGAAGGCGAGUCUCUGGACAGCAACUGACGCUGAGGCACGAAGGCCAGGGGAGCAAACGGG